UGGGUUGGGACCCAAAAUCCAAACCCGUUAGGACAAAUCCCCUUCCUUCCUCUUACCGUUGUCUUCCUCAUCAAAAACCCUAAGCUCCAUGGCCGCCGAUUGAUCGAUCCAAAUCGACUGUCGGUGAGGCACCGACAGUCCUCAACCACUGACGCCCAGCCUGAGAUGGCCGUCUCGACCGCCAGUGAGCCGGCGAAGGGCAUUUUUGCUUGAUGGGAGAUCGACGGGGAGCUAAAAGAGCCGGCCUUAUCUCCUCCUGAUUAUGGCCGGCGGCCAUCGAAAAAUCGAUGAAACCCAGCCCCGCCACCAAAGAUCGAGAUCUCGGAGCCCUAAUUGAGUUCCACCGGUUGCAAUCUCAAGGAAGGGCCGACCGGCGUGAGAGAAGCGAUGGCUUGAACCCCUCCUCUGCUAGUCUAUCUUGUUAUCGCCGGCUAGUUUGGGUGGUCGUCGGAGGGAAAGGGUACCAGAAAGGGCGGCCAGGCGAGGGACACCGGCGGCCAGUCGUGGCUGCUGGACAUGGACUAGAGGUCCGGCCAGCCAACUUGAUGAAGAGAAGAAAAGGGCACACCGUCGGCC
rnacentral:lncRNA from 1 species